CCUACGGGGUGCUGCAGUGAGGAAUAUUGGUCAAUGGACGCAAGUCUGAACCAGCCAUGCCGCGUGCAGGAAGACGGCUCUAUGAGUUGUAAACUGCUUUUGUACGAGGGUAAACGCAGAUACGCGUAUCUUUCUGCACGUAUCGUACGAAUAAGGAUCGGCUAACUCCGUGCCAGCAGCCGCGGUAAUCCGGAGGAUUCAAGCGUUAUUCGGAUUUAAUGGGUUUAAAGGGUGCGUAGGCGGUCGGAUAAGUUAGAGGUGAAAUCCCGAGGCUUAACUUCGGAAUUGCCUCUGAUACUGUUCGGCUAGAGAGUAGUUGCGGUAGGCAGAAUGUAUGGUGUAGCGGUGAAAUGCUUAGAGAUCAGACAGAACACCGAUUGCGAAGGCAGCUUACUAAGCAAAGUCUGACGUUGAGGCACGAAAGCGUGGGGAGCAAACAGGAUUAGAUACCCUAGUAGUC
rnacentral:rRNA from 1 species